GAUGAACGCUGGCGGCGUGCUUAACACAUGCAAGUCGAACGGAGUGAAUAAACGGAAGUUUCGGAUGGAAGUUUUACUUACUUAGUGGCGGACGGGUGAGUAACGCGUGGGUAACCUGCCUCAUACAGGGGGAUAACACUUAGAAAUAGGUGCUAAUACCGCAUAAGCGCACAGUAUCGCAUGAUACAGUGUGAAAAACUCCGGUGGUAUGAGAUGGACCCGCGUCUGAUUAGCUAGUUGGUAAGGUAAUGGCUUACCAAGGCGACGAUCAGUAGCCGGCUUGAGAGAGUGAACGGCCACAUUGGAACUGAGAUACGGCCCAGACUCCUACGGGAGGCAGCAGUGGGGAAUAUUGGGCAAUGGGGGAAACCCUGACCCAGCAACGCCGCGUGAAGGAAGAAGGCCUUCGGGUUGUAAACUUCUUUUACCAGGGACGAAGAACGUGACGGUACCUGGAGAAAAAGCAACGGCUAACUACGUG
rnacentral:rRNA from 1 species